AAAUGGACACAGUUUCUUUUUUGAAUGAUUUUAUUCAUUGUUAGUGGGAUAUAGAUGAAUAUGUAGACCACUGUUUGUUUAUGAUGCUCCUCUUGCUUGAUUGCAGUGGGAAUCGAACCCACGACUUCUGGUUUUCUUACCAACUUGACCCCGUACAUGUAUGGCCCAGUUGGUAGAGCAUUGCACUAGCAAACCAAAGGUCGCAGGUUCAAUUCCCACCGCUGUCAAGCAAACUCUUCUGCUUGCCCGGUGUUAACACACUCAAAGUAACAUCACUACCAGUGUAUGCGACACCUUAUAAUAAUACAAUGUUCUAUCUAUCAGGAUACUAGCAUAUGUAUAUUUUAUUUCUAUUAAUAUUUUUCACACUGAGAACAAUAAAAUGCUGACAUUGCAUUAUUUGAUGAUUGUAGUUUGAUAUCUGAACAGCCAAAUCAUUCUUGCAUUCCCGGGUAUAUUCCUGCAAAAACAUGCAAUAAUUAUAAACAAUAAUUAUACAUAUUCUACAAUAAUUAUAAACCAAUGCCCAACCCCAUCACUCCGUCCCCCUGUCAGGCGCACAAAUCACCAUAAAUUUUUUGUCCUGGUGCACCAACCCUAAGGCCAAAAAAAAAAAUAUGUGGGUUUCCGGUUUCCCGACCCUACCUAGCUUUUGGACGUCGAAAUCCCGACCCUAAACUUUUUUAUUGGAUCACGCUUGUAAGUGUUUCCACUUAGAGGAAAAAGUUUGUGGAAAAUUGAAAUUUGAGGCAAUAUUAGGGAAAUUUAUCUUUGGAUGUGGAAGCACUGACUAAACAAAAUGGCGUCCGGUUGUUCGGAAAAUUAAAAAAAAAGUUUAAAAAAAAAAGUUAAAACCGACCUACCCUACCUAAGUUUUUAUAAGAAGAAACCGGAAACCCACAUAUUUUUUUUUUGGCCUAAGAAUUCAGGGAUCCCUCAGAAAACCUCAUCCCAAUAGCAUGCUGUUUAGAGUUAUUUCCUAUAUUAGACAACCCUUUGGAUAAAUAUUUAUCCAAAAUUUUAAUAAUACACCCUUUCAAUAA